rnacentral:rRNA from 1 species
UACAGAAGGGGGCAAGCGGUUAUUCGGAAAUUAUUGGGCGUAAAGGGCGCGUGAGGCGGGCUUUUCAAGUGACGGGUGAAAUCCCGUCGGCUUAACCGAGGAACGUGCCUGUCAGACUGGAAGGCUUGAGACGGGAGAGGUGAGUGGAAUUCCCGAGUGUAGCGGUGAAAUGCGUAGAUAUUGGGAGGAACACCAGUGGCGAAGGCGGCUCACUGGACCGGAACUGACGCUGAGG